rnacentral:rRNA from 1 species
CGGAGGGUGCAAGCGUUAUCCGGAUUUACUGGGUUUAAAGGGUGCGCAGGCGGAUAUGUAAGUCAGUGGUGAAAUCUUUGGGCUUAACCCGAAAUUGCCAUUGAUACUAUAUAUCUUGAAUGCUGUGGAGGUAGGCGGAAUAUGUCAUGUAGCGGUGAAAUGCUUAGAUAUGACAUAGAACACCUAUUGCGAAGGCAGCUUACUACGCAGAGAUUGACGCUCAUGCACGAAAGCGUGGGAUCAAACAGGAUUAGAUACCCUGGUAGUCCACGCCCUAAACGAUGAUUACUCGACAUACGCGAUACACAGUGUGUGUCUGAGCGAAAGCAUUAAGUAAUCCACUGGGAAGUACGACCGCAAGGUUG